rnacentral:misc_RNA from 1 species
CCGACGGUUUUCAGACUCUCGAUCACUGCACCGAUAGGGAUCUUUACUGAGCGUUCUGGAGCAGCAACAUGGGACUGAGCAGCUUUCUUUGGUUGCUGCUGCUUGUGGCUUCUACAACAGGCAGCUAUCGAAGCUACGGCCACUAUGGAUACGGUUACCCCUUUCCACAUUACGGCCUCGGCUAUGGGAGGUACGGCCUCGGGGGAUAUGGUCACGGAUAUGGCCUAGGAGGCUACGGACUCGGGGGCUACGGGCUCGGAUACGGCUUCGGCUUUCCCAAGAUAUGGGGCUGACAAAAAGACGAAGGGAGGCGGCCCCGCAUAAAAACAAAAAAAUCUCUAUGAACACAGUAAACAAGAGGCUCACAUAUUUUUUCAAGUGGCACGUAGCAUGAGGUCCUUUCAUCAAGAUUCUAGAGGGCACUUGCUGAAACCGUGGAGAGACCUGUCUAGAAUGUCAUCGCCUAUGAAAUCAACGUCGCAGAUUGCUAGUCAAUAAAAGAAGUGGAUGCUUUCCAUGAGCUCUGGACAUAUGCCUCCGAGCCGCAAAGUGAAACUGAAACUACCGACAAGCCUUUCUCGCCGAAUGAACUCUGUCUAUCUAAGGUUCCUUAUUGUGUAUUAAAUU